GACGAACGCUAGCGGCGUGCCUAAUACAUGCAAGUAGAACGCUGAAGGAGGAGCUUGCUUCUCUGGAUGAGUUGCGAACGGGUGAGUAACGCGUAGGUAACCUGCCUGGUAGCGGGGGAUAACUAUUGGAAACGAUAGCUAAUACCGCAUAAGAGUAGAUGUUGCAUGACAUUUGCUUAAAAGGUGCAAUUGCAUCACUACCAGAUGGACCUGCGUUGUAUUAGCUAGUUGGUGAGGUAACGGCUCACCAAGGCGACGAUACAUAGCCGACCUGAGAGGGGGAUCGGCCACACUGGGACUGAGACACGGCCCAGACUCCUACGGGAGGCAGCAGUAGGGAAUCUUCGGCAAUGGACGGAAGUCUGACCGAGCAACGCCGCGUGAGUGAAGAAGGUUUUCGGAUCGUAAAGCUCUGUUGUAAGAGAAGAACGAGUGUGAGAGUGGAAAGUUCACACUGUGACGGUAUCUUACCAGAAAGGGACGGCUAACUACGUG
rnacentral:rRNA from 1 species